rnacentral:rRNA from 1 species
GACGAACGCUGGCGGCGUGCUUAACACAUGCAAGUCGAACGGAAAGGCCCUGCUUUUGUGGUGUGCUCGAGUGGCGAACGGGUGAGUAACACGUGUGUAACCUGCCCUUGACUUUGGUAUAACUUCAGGAAACUGGGUCUAAUACCGGAUAGGAGCUCCUGCUGCAUUGUGUGUUUUGGAAAGUUUCGGCGGUUGGGGAUGGACUCGCGGCGUAUCAGCUUGUUGGUGGGGUAGUGGCUUACCAAGGCUUUGACGGGUAGCCGGCCUGAGAGGGUGACCGGCCACAUUGGGACUGAGAUACGGCCCAGACUCCUACGGGAGGCAGCAGUGGGGAAUAUUGCACAAUGGGCGGAAGCCUGAUGCAGCAACGCCGCGUGCGGGAUGACGGCCUUCGGGUUGUAAACCGCUUUCGCCUGUGAAGAAGCGAGAGUGACGGUAAUGGGUAAAGAAGCACCGGCUAACUACGUG